rnacentral:lncRNA from 1 species
CUCAGUCCCAGGAUUAAGUUACUAAUCACUUGAUGUUGUCUUAAUUGAAAGGCAGAUUACCCAGGUUUGAACAGGCUAGUCCCUUCUGCCUUCUGGGCAGGUCACAUCUGAAAGAUUAUCCUCUUUGAAUCAGUUUGAAUGUUCUAGUGACCAGGCCACACAGUUUCUCUUGACAUUUAAAAAUGAAGCUUCCAGUCUUGUCACUAAUGGAUUUGGGGUCCAGUACCCUUAAAAUCACCUCAGAGCUGCCUGAAUCCAUAGACUACUUGCAGAAUCACUGGUUUUACUUGGAUCAAGCCAUCUGAGAAGGAAAAAGCAUUGGAAAUGGAGGAGACUGUCAAGGACAAUAAUAAAUGAUGGUUGGCUGAAAUAAAAACUCAAAGCCCCCACAAUAUUGAACCACCAUUCCAGACCCAGCCAAGGUUUGGAACAUAAAGUGAGCUGAAUGAAUCAGCCUGCAGGCAACCCAGAGAAAGUAAUUGUUCAUCCUAGCAGCACGGCUGCUUUUCUGCUUAGCAUCUGAACAAGUUAAUUUGGAAACACAGCCUUCUGGAAAGAAAUGGCGCUUCUCUCAGCAUCCCAUGGAUUCAUGAGGAGCUCCUUGAAUGCAAAUAUUGCCUGAUAUUUUCAUGGUAAGUUCUGAGCAAAUAGGUGCUGGACGAAUGAAUUACUGAAUAAGUUCAAAGCUCUUGGAGAGCGGAAACCAUGAUGAAUACUCCUUUAUUUAUUCCAUGUAACACUCCAGACAAGAGUAGGCUUUGAUUCUGUCGUAUUGAAUUCAAUUACCGGUUCAGUAGGAGAGACAAGAUAAAUUGGCAGGCAACCCAUGUGUAUCAGUAUACUCACAAAUGUGGAGUAUUAGGAUAUUAGGAUAAAAUAUGCUCAGAGUUGAGAGAAUUUAAUGAAACCCAUGAUACUUAGGUAGGACAAAUGUCUUCAGACAGAGAAAUUAAGGUUUACUAUCACAUAUGUGAACCCUUGAGGGAGAAUGGGAGAAACAAGAAAUGAUUACAUUAUUGUGGAGGUCUCCAGACACAGGAGAAGAGCGACGGCGAAGAAAGGAAGGAAGGAAGAAAGAAAAGGAGCCUGAAUUUACACUCACCGCUUCAA